rnacentral:rRNA from 1 species
ACUCCUACGGGAGGCAGCAGUGGGGAAUAUUGCACAAUGGGCGCAAGCCUGAUGCAGCCAUGCCGCGUGUGUGAAGAAGGCCUUCGGGUUGUAAAGCACUUUCAGUUGUGAGGAAGGUGGUGUCGUUAAUAGCGGCAUCAUUUGACGUUAGCAACAGAAGAAGCACCGGCUAACUCCGUGCCAGCAGCCGCGGUAAUACGGAGGGUGCGAGCGUUAAUCGGAAUUACUGGGCGUAAAGCGCAUGCAGGUGGUUUGUUAAGUCAGAUGUGAAAGCCCGGGGCUCAACCUCGGAACUGCAUUUGAAACUGGCAGACUAGAGUACUGUAGAGGGGGGUAGAAUUUCAGGUGUAGCGGUGAAAUGCGUAGAGAUCUGAAGGAAUACCGGUGGCGAAGGCGGCCCCCUGGACAGAUACUGACACUCAGGA